rnacentral:misc_RNA from 1 species
GAAAGGUACAUGGCCAUUGGGAGGAGGUAGUGGAUCUUAGAUGGGUUUUUGCGUAUUUAAGGAGAUCUUGGUCACUUGCUUUCCCAUAAGACUAGCUUUUGUAUCUCUUUAAUUGCAUAGACUAGUAGGUUUUGGUGUCUCCUACGUUAAGCCAGCCCCUUCCUCCUCACCCUUCCAUCCUUCUAAAGUUUUGUGAAGAACAUAUAGAUAUACAUCAGAUUUUAGAUAACCAGAAGAAAUGGUGAAGAUCUGUUGCAUUGGUGCUGGUUAUGUUGGGGGUCCUACCAUGGCAGUUAUUGCAUUGAAGUGCCCCUCAAUUGAAGUAGCUGUUGUUGACAUCUCAGUUUCUAGAAUUGCAGCAUGGAAUGGUGAUCAACUUCCCAUUUAUGAGCCAGGCCUUGACGAGGUGGUGAAGCAGUGCAGAGGAAACAACCUUUUCUUCAGCACAGACAUUGAAAAACAUGUCUUUGAAGCAGACAUAAUCUUUGUUUCUGUUAACACCCCGACAAAAACUCGGGGCCUUGGAGCAGGCAAAGCUGCUGACUUGACUUACUGGGAGAGUGCAGCCCGAAUGAUUGCCGAUGUAUCAAAAUCCAACAAGAUUGUUGUUGAGAAAUCUACUGUUCCUGUGAAAACUGCUGAGGCAAUUGAAAAAAUCCUGACCCAUAAUAGUAGAGGAAUCAAAUACCAGAUUCUUUCCAACCCAGAAUUUCUUGCAGAGGGGACCGCAAUUCAGGACCUCUUUAACCCUGACAGGGUUCUCAUUGGAGGGAGGGAAACCCCAGAAGGCCAAAAGGCCAUUCAGGCUCUUAAAGAUGUAUAUGCUCAAUGGGUUCCUGAAGAUAGAAUCAUUUCAACCAAUCUCUGGUCAGCAGAGCUCUCAAAGCUAGCCGCAAAUGCCUUUCUGGCACAGAGGAUUUCUUCUGUGAAUGCAAUGUCAGCUCUCUGUGAAGCAACUGGGGCAGAUGUUUCACAAGUUUCCCACGCUGUUGGCAAGGACACCAGAAUAGGUCCUAAGUUCCUACAAGCAAGUGUUGGUUUUGGAGGAUCUUGCUUUCAGAAGGACAUCCUCAACUUGGUCUACAUUUGUGAGUGCAAUGGCCUACCUGAAGUUGCUAACUAUUGGAAACAAGUUAUUAAGAUUAAUGACUAUCAGAAGAACCGAUUCGUCAAUAGGUUAGUCUCCUCAAUGUUCAAUACAGUUUCAGGUAAAAAAAUUGCCAUCCUUGGUUUUGCAUUCAAGAAAGAUACUGGUGACACAAGGGAAACACCAGCAAUUGAUGUGUGCAAAGGCUUGCUAGGUGAUAAGGCACGCUUGAGCAUAUACGAUCCACAAGUGACUGAGGAUCAGAUCCAGAGGGAUCUGUCAUUGAACAAGUUUGAUUGGGAUCAUCCAGUUCACCUUCAACCAAUGAGCCCUAGUGCUGUGAAGAAAGUGAGUGUGGUAUGGGAUGCUUAUGAGGCCACCAAGGAUGCUCAUGGGAUCUGCAUUCUUACCGAGUGGGACGAAUUCAAAACCCUUGAUUACCAGAGGAUUUUUGACAAUAUGCAGAAGCCUGCAUUUGUGUUUGAUGGAAGAAAUGUUGUGAAUGUUGACAAGUUGAGGGAGAUUGGUUUCAUUGUUUACUCCAUUGGGAAACCACUGGAUCCAUGGCUACAAGACAUGCCUGCUGUGGCAUGAGUUUCUUCUCAUGGGAUUUGAAGCUAGAACUGAGCAAUCUGGGAGCUGCAUUUUGAUUCUUUUAUUCUGUUCUUGUUUCUUUCAUUUUACUGGUCAUCAUGACUUAAAUAUCAUAAUCAUUGAAUAAUAUAUACAGAGAUAGUCAUUAUCUUAGUGGAAAUCUAUAAUGUUUAUUUGCUACCAGGAUUAAUAAAGCAGAAUCUCAACUUUAAAGAAACUCUAGUUUGGGCAUUGUUCAUCGAAUCAUACCAGGAUUAAUAAAGCAGAAUCUCAACUUUAAAGAAACUCUAGUUUGGGCAUUGUUCAUCGAAUCA